UACAGAGGUGGCAAGCGUUGUUCGGAAUUACUGGGCGUAAAGGGCGCGUAGGCGGCCUUCUAAGUCAGACGUGAAAUCCCCCGGCUUAACCUGGGAACUGCGUCUGAUACUGGAAGGCUUGAAUUCGGGAGAGGGAUGCAGAAUUCCAGGUGUAGCGGUGAAAUGCGUAGAUAUCUGGAGGAACACCGGUGGCGAAGGCGGCAUCCUGGACCGGUAUUGACGCUGAGGAGCGAAAGCCAGGGGAGCAAACGGG
rnacentral:rRNA from 1 species